GAUGCCCAUUUUGAUUCCUCAU
rnacentral:siRNA from 1 species